rnacentral:rRNA from 1 species
UACAAUGGAGAGUUUGAUCCUGGCUCAGGAUGAACGCUGGCGGCAGGCCUAAUACAUGCAAGUCGAACGGGAUCCGGUGUAGCAAUACACUGGUGAGAGUGGCGCACGGGUGCGUAACACGUAUGCAACCUACCUUUAACAGGUACAUAACAGCGCGAAAGCGGUGCUAAUAUACCAUGUGGUUAUUGAAUGGCAUCAUUUAAUAAUUAAAGAUUUAUCGGUUAAAGAUGGGCAUGCGUCCCAUUAGCUAGUUGGUGAGGUAAAGGCUCACCAAGGCAAUGAUGGGUAGGGGUUCUGAGAGGAUAUACCCCCACACUGGUACUGAGACACGGACCAGACUCCUACGGGAGGCAGCAGUAAGGAAUAUUGGUCAAUGGGCGAGAGCCUGAACCAGCCAUGCCGCGUGCAGGAAGACGGCCCUAUGGGUUGUAAACUGCUUUUGUCAGGGGAUAAACCUACCGACGAGUCGGUAGCUGAAGGUACCUGAAGAAUAAGGAUCGGCUAACUCCGUGCCAGCAGCCGCGGUAAUACGGAGGAUCCGAGCGUUAUCCGGAUUUAUUGGGUUUAAAGGGUGCGCAGGCGGAUUGGUAAGUCAGGGGUGAAAUUCUACGGCUCAACUGUAGGCGUGCCUUUGAUACUGUCAAACUAGAGUUAAGUUGGAGUGGGCGGAAUGUGUUGUGUAGCGGUGAAAUGCUUAGAUAUAACACAGAACACCGAUCGCGAAGGCAGCUCACUAAACUUAGACUGACGCUCAUGCACGAAAGCGUGGGGAUCAAACAGGAUUAGAUACCCUGGUAGUCCACGCUGUAAACGAUGAUCACUCGCUGUUGGCGAUAUACAGUCAGUGGCUAAGCGAAAGUGAUAAGUGAUCCACCUGGGGAGUACGACCGCAAGGUUGAAACUCAAAGGAAUUGACGGGGGCCCGCACAAGCGGAGGAGCAUGUGGUUUAAUUCGAUGAUACGCGAGGAACCUUACCAGGGCUCGAACGUUCAGCGCUUUACCGGGAAACCGGUAAUCCCUUCGGGGCGGUGAACGAGGUGCUGCAUGGUUGUCGUCAGCUCGUGCCGUGAGGUGUCAGGUUAAGUCCUAUAACGAGCGCAACCCCUAUCCUUAGUUGCCAUCAGGUAAAGCUGGGCACUCUAGGGAGACUGCCUACGCAAGUAGAGAGGAAGGUGGGGAUGACGUCAAAUCAGCACGGCCCUUAUGUCCUGGGCUACACACGUGCUACAAUGGUCGGUACAGAGGGCCGCUACCGGGUGACCGGAUGCCAAUCUCGAAAGCCGAUCUCAGUUCGGAUCGGAGUCUGCAACCCGACUCCGUGAAGUUGGAUUCGCUAGUAAUCGCGCAUCAGCCAUGGCGCGGUGAAUACGUUCCCGGGCCUUGUACACACCGCCCGUCAAGCCAUGGAAGCUUGGGGUACCUAAAGUCCGUAACCGUAAGGAGCGGCCUAGGGUAAAACAGGUGACUGGGGCUAAGUCGUAACAAGGUAGCCGUACCGGAAGGUGUGGCUGGAAUACCUCCUUUCUGGAG